CCAUUUCUGACGCUAAGGCACGAAAGCGUGGGGAGCGAACCGGAUUAGAUACCCGGGUAGUCCACGCCGUAAACGAUGGAUACUAGCUGUUGGAGGUAUCGACCCCUUCAGUAGCGAAGCUAACGCGUUAAGUAUCCCGCCUGUGGAGUACGGCCGCAAGGCUAAAACAUAAAGGAAUUGACGGGGACCCGCACAAGCGGUGGAUUAUGUUCUUUAAUUCGAUGAUAACCGAAGAACCUUACCAGGGCUUGACAUCCAGGGAAGGUCUAUGAAAGUAGACUGUGCCUUUUGGAACCCUGUGACAGGUGAUGCAUGGCCGUCGUCAGCUCGUGUCGUGAGAUGUUAGGUUAAGUCCUUCAACGAGCGCAACCCUUGCAAGUAGUUGUAUUUUUCUACUUGGACUGCCCCGGUAACGGGGAGGAAGGAGGGGAUGAUGUCAGGUCAGUAUUUCCCUUACGUCCUGGGCUAGAAACGUAAUACAAUGGCUAGUACAAUGCGCAGCGAAGCCGCGAGGUGAAGCAAAUCGCAUCAAAGCUAGUCCCAGUUCGGAUUGGAGGCUGAAACUCGCCUCCAUGAAGUCGGAAUCGCUAGUAAUCGCAAAUCAGCAAGUUGCGGUGAAUACGUUCCCGGGUCUUGUACACACCGCCCGUCAAACCAUGAAAGUGACCAACACCCGAAGUCCGAUUCGUCGGCCUAAGGUGGGGGGCAUGAUUGGGGUUAAGUCGUAACAAGGUAUCCGUACCGGAAGGUGCGGAUG
rnacentral:rRNA from 1 species